GAGCGAAGGUCCCAGCAGAGAGGUAAGAGACUCUGAAUUGAGGCCUCUCGAACUAUAAUACAAACCUUCGCAGAUUAAUUUGCCGAAUCGUAGGAUGCCCAGAAUUAUUUUCCAUUUCUGUUGCAUCUGGAACCCUCGGCUAUAUCUAU